rnacentral:rRNA from 1 species
CAAGACCUUGCGCUUUUGGAGCGGCCGAUGUCUGAUUAGCUAGUUGGUGAGGUAAAGGCUUACCAAGGCUUCGAUCAGUAGCUGGUCUGAGAGGACGACCAGCCACACUGGGACUGAGACACGGCCCAGACUCCUACGGGAGGCAGCAGUGGGGAAUUUUGGACAAUGGGGGAAACCCUGAUCCAGCCAUGCCGCGUGAGUGAAGAAGGCCUUCGGGUUGUAAAGCUCUUUCAGCCGGAACGAAACGGUCACGGCUAAUACCUGUGACUACUGACGGUACCGGAAGAAGAAGCACCGGCUAACUACGUGCCAGCAGCCGCGGUAAUACUAGGGUGCGAGCGUUAAUCGGAAUUACUGGGCGUAAAGCGUGCGCAGGCGGUUUUGUAAGUCAGAUGUGAAAUCCCCGGGCUUAACCUGGGAACU